rfam:Triticum aestivum genome assembly, contig: Triticum_aestivum_CS42_TGACv1_scaffold_404167_5BL
AUACAACUCCCUCCGUCCGAAAAUACUUGUCGAAGAAAUGGAUGUAUCUAGAUGUAUUUUAGUUCUAGAUACAUCUAUUUUUAUCCAUUUUUGCGACGAGUAAUUCCGGACGGAGGGAGUAUUAG